CACCACUGAAUAAAGUAAAGGUAAAGGUUUCCCCCUGACAUCAAAGUCCAGUCCUGCCUUAAUCUAGGGAGCGGUGCUCAUCUCCGUUUCCCAGCUGAGGGAGCCAGCGUUUGUCUGCAGACAGUCUCCGUGGUCAUGUGGCUGGCAUGACUAAACACCGAAGUGCA